rnacentral:sRNA from 1 species
AACAUAUAUGAUAUUGUCACUAAUUUACAAAAAUAAUUAUACCUGUAACAGAUUCAGAACAUUAGCAGAAUAUUGGUUCUUGGAGAAUCAUUAAAUCCAAAAUAUAUGACAGUUGAGAAAGGAAAAAAUAUAUUACCAACU